rnacentral:rRNA from 1 species
GCGGCAGGCCUAACACAUGCAAGUCGGACGGUAGCACAGAGGAGCUUGCUCCUCGGGUGACGAGUGGCGGACGGGUGAGUAAUGUCUGGGAAACUGCCCGAUGGAGGGGGAUAACUACUGGAAACGGUAGCUAAUACCGCAUAACGUCGCAAGACCAAAGUGGGGGACCUCCGGGCCUCACACCAUCGGAUGUGCCCAGAUGGGAUUAGCUAGUAGGCGGGGUAACGGCCCACCUAGGCGACGAUCCCUAGCUGGUCUGAGAGGAUGACCAGCCACACUGGAACUGAGACACGGUCCAGACUCCUACGGGAGGCAGCAGUGGGGAAUAUUGCACAAUGGGCGCAAGCCUGAUGCAGCCAUGCCGCGUGUAUGAAGAAGGCCUUCGGGUUGUAAAGUACUUUCAGCGGGGAGGAAGGUGGUGAGGUUAAUAACCUCAUCAAUUGACGUUACCCGCAGAAGAAGCACCGGCUAACUCCGUGCCAGCAGCCGCGGUAAUACGGAGGGUGCAAGCGUUAAUCGGAAUUACUGGGCGUAAAGCGCACGCAGGCGGUCUGUUAAGUCAGAUGUGAAAUCCCCGGGCUUAACCUGGGAACUGCAUUUGAAACUGGCAGGCUUGAGUCUCGUAGAGGGGGGUAGAAUUCCAGGUGUAGCGGUGAAAUGCGUAGAGAUCUGGAGGAAUACCGGUGGCGAAGGCGGCCCCCUGGACGAAGACUGACGCUCAGGUGCGAAAGCGUGGGGAGCAAACAGGAUUAGAUAC